AACUGGAUAGCCUAGGGGUAAAAGGCGGCACUUCUAGCAAUGAUGAGUUCCCAGGUUCAAAUCCUGGUCUAGUCA
rnacentral:tRNA from 1 species